rnacentral:rRNA from 1 species
UACGGAGGGUGCGAGCGUUAUCCGGAAUUACUGGGCUUAAAGGGUGCGUAGGCGGCUCUGUAAGUCAGGUGUGAAAGUUUGCGGCUCAACCGUAAAAUUGCUUUUGAUACUGCGGGGCUAGAAUUAGGAUGAGGUCAGCGGAAUGUGGCAUGUAGCGGUGAAAUGCAUAGAUAUGCCAUAGAACACCAAUUGCGAAGGCAGCUGGCUAGACCUGGAUUGACGCUGAGGCACGAAAGCGUGGGGAGCGAACAGG